rnacentral:lncRNA from 1 species
UCUCCUUCAUAUCGUUUAUUCAUGUCCAGAGCUUAUUAAUGCAUUAACUUCAACCAACUAUUUGGAUAUACAGCCGAAAAUAGAGGUUCUAAUACAACGGCUAAGAAAAUAACAGAAAUCAACUUUAUUGUAAAACAGAAUGGAAAAAACAGAUGCCUAAAACUACUCCAACGGCUAGUUGACACAGUAAAGCCUCUCAUAGCUGUUUGGAAUUGCUGCCUAGCUGCUCUGGUUCCUACGUUCAAGCAUGCAUGGGUUCAACGUUCACGCCUGCCUUGUUCUUACGCCUAAUCUUCCUCCCCCAUACUUGGGAUUCGGCUUCGGUGCUCUCUCAGACCUACGUGGCUUGUCACCUAAUGUAAUCCAAAAGGAUCUUGGAUUUUCUCAUAAAUUCUCUCUCUCAAAGAAGGUUGUUGGAUUUUCCCAUAACUUGUAGACGCAGGAUACUCUUCCCUGUUUGAAACCAAUCCAUUCAUUGUUUCACCGUCCGUAAGACAAAUGAGUGCUUCUUUUGCAUCUGGUGUAGCCAAUUGAAGUUUUCCAGUAUCGGAUUGUAGGAAAUUUGUUGCAAAGUUUGGAUCUUGAUAAAAGAACCGAGAUCUAGCAGGGCUCGGGUUGUAUCUUUAGCGUGAAAGAUUGAACGAUCUUCAUUUGCGACUUCAACCGGAAUCACACGCUGCACAGCUCUCAAAGCAAAAUUUUUUCUCUUCCCCACCUAACCUGUACAGAUCUCAAAACA